rnacentral:lncRNA from 1 species
UUUACUGAGAAGCACAUGUUAAUUUUCAAUCCACGACUCCACGAGGUGUUCUUUGUUCAGAAUUCCCUCCCGUUUCCUGCCGCGUGCAGGAACCCCGUAAUUAUUGUCCAUUACAAGGCCAUCUCGAUAUGCAACGAUUAUAAAUGUAGCUCAUCGAUCGACGUAUUGUUAAAUGUAUUGAAUUUGACUUCACAAAUUUUCUUCCCCACUGUUGGAUAGAUUAGAAAAGGCCCCGCCAAACAAUGUGAGGAAAAUGAUGUCGCAAGCCAUACAUGUCCAUUACCCAGCUCACAGUGACCAUACAAGUCGAAAUGGUGACAGUUUCGAAAGGCUUCUUCCUACUGUACACGGAACGACAAGUAAGAAACACAUUCAUGUGGUCACUGUUUAGA